rnacentral:lncRNA from 1 species
UUGAUCUAUAUAAUAAUUUAGAUUAAUUAUCAACUUCAAAUACCUUAUAAUUUCUAAAUACAUGCAUAUGACCCUUUAAUUAACAUUUUACAAAAUUUCCCUGAACAUUUAAAUUUUUUUCAAUUUAAACCUAAAAUCGAAACUAAUAUAUCUUUUAUAAGUAAGCCUCAUUUUUCAAUCUAAUUACAACUCCAUCCUCUUAUAACCCUCUAGAAUAAAAAAAUACAAAAAUUCCAUGUCAAAUUCAACAUAUUUGCAAUUAGGUCCUUAAACUCAAAACUAACAAAAUCCACUUAACAAUUUAAUCCUACUUAACAUCUAAACUCAACAUGCAAC